UACGCGAACUCUAUACGGUAAACACGUCGAAGACGGAUGCACGCGUGUCGUGUUCUACGAUUUUCUUCUUGGUCAAAAUAACAGAAAAUGUGUGUGUGUGCUUACGCGAAAUACGGAAACGGAAUACGUGUAAAAUCUAUUGAUAUCAAAGUGAAAUAAAGUUGAAGAAAAAAUUAAAUAAAAUUAUUUUAAACGAAGAGUUGAGAAAAUACCACAACGAAAAUACUUGCUUACACACAUACUACUCCACAGGCAAGCGGUUAACGACAAAAAUGUGUUGUAGUUCGGUUUAUGUUUGAUAGAAGUGGUGUAAAAAGAAGAAGCAGCAGAAGAGCAGGCAAACAAAUAAUAAUAAAGAAAAAAAAAAAUAACAAAACAACGUGCUGCCGAAAAAACACGAGAAGCCUAAGUCAAGCCAAUAAAAGUUUUUAAACGAAAGGUUUUUAGCUCGCCUCCAAUAUAAAGAAAUUGGAAGAAAAAUUGUUUGCUAUUAUCAAUGAUUUUGCAUGCUAAAUUUGGGCCAAAGUGUAAAGGAAAGUGAGUGAAAUUUUCUAUCAACCCAGAAGCCCUGAGAGCAAGAAUAUAAUAAAAAGUUAUGGUGUUGAAUAAUUGAAAGAAUGAUGCUUCUAAUUUCCACAAGCAUCUAGAAAGAGAAUAUUUUCGUACAAACAAUUGGUCAUAGUGUUGUUGGUUGACAUCAAAGUGUUUUUUUUUUUGGGUUUUGUGCCAUUUUACCGUUAGACAAGCAAAACAAUAACAAAGUGCCAACGUUGUGUGUGCGAAAGUGUAAGAAGUUGAAACACAGUGGCUAAUAGUGUAAAGUGGAACUACUUGCGGCAGAAUAAGAGCAAAGAAACUUCAACCAAUUAAAGAUCUUCUGCUACUCUUCAAAAGAAAAAAGCACACUCAAUUGGACAACGAAAGCGAAACCAGUAAAUAAAAACACAGAUACAUAUCUAAUACAAAAAUUAUCGAAAAAAACAAACCAUCAAAACCAUCAAAACAAAACCCAAAACUUAAUCAUCUUCCAUAUCGCACCGAACAUAUCAGUGCACCGAAAACCAAUUAAAAUAUUUUAUCUUGCAAAUAUGAUCAGUAAUCAAAUAUGAGAUAUAUAUUUCACAUUGAACAACUAAUUAUUUAAAAAUUUAUUCAACCUGUCAAAAAGAAAACAAAAGCACUGACUCUUAUCAAUACACAACAAAAUCACAUAUCAAAUUCAUUAGAGAAGACGAUAGGAGAGGAAUUCCAAAAAUUAUUUAUCUCUUGGGGAUUUUGUAUUUUUCGGUUAAUUAAUGCAUGCCGAUGAAGAGCAAAAGCAAUAACAACUAACGCCAGCGAAACAGAAAAAAACAAAUUUUACAUAAAGAAAACAACAACAACAACUAUAAUACAAGAAGAACAAAAAUUAUGCAAAUAAAAGCACAUUUAAAUUACCAUUUCAACUGCCAAUUAAUUCAUUAGAGUCCAUCAGCCUAUUAAACAAAAGGGAAUAAGCAGAGCAGUUGGCUGAAGUUGGCGACAAAAGCCCAAACUGGCCAAAAUUUUCUUAGAUAGACAAAUGAUGAUGGGGAUGUAUGCCUGAUACAUAUCAAGCAAGCGUUAGAAAUCUCUCUCUCUCUCUAACAGUCUUGAAUACAACAUAUCCCUCGAUUACAAAAUACAGCAACAAUUGUUUUUAUUAGACAAAUUUUUGGAACAAAAAAUACCCCACAACUUGCCCUGCCCGGUAGCUGUCCAUUGAGUUGAAGAAGGACAUUCAAUUUUUCCACACAAAUACAGUGUUGUUUGCCUGAAAUUUAGUUCACUUACGACUGGACUCCCCCCCCGUUGGCCGGCGAGUUCGCCGCAACUCUGUUAGGGUCCGUCUAUACGUCCAUCGUUCCUUUCUACAAAUUUUUAAGCCAUUUACAAAUUUGUACUUAAAUGUAAAUGAGUUUUUGUGCGGCGCGCGGAUAAUGAUGAUGAUGAAUAAAUACCCUCUAUGCUAAAUGUUCGGGCGGCGCCUAUUUUCCAAGUUAUCUCAACGAGCAACCAGAGAGUGCCAAUAGAAGUAGUGACAGCAGCAGCAGCAGCAACAAUAACCAAACGUCCUUAAAAGCAAAACAAAAAACAAAACCUACAAUUGUACGGUCACAACAAAGUUUUAAACGUUUGCGCUGAGUGCCGGAAUUAAUGCAAAUUGUUAAGUUUAAAUCUAAUCUCUUUUUCGGGGUGAAAAUUGUGCCUGAAAUUCUCUUCGCCGCCGCGACAACGACAACGCGUUUGUGUAAAGCAAAAUUUUGUAAAUUUGUUUUUCGUUCUUGCAUAAAUAGGGCAAAACAAGUGUGAGCAAAUAAAAAAAAAAUAAAUAAAUAAAAAUACUCCCCUUAGCAGUUGAAGAGAAAGUAUAGGCGGAAACGCAAGAGAAAACAAGUGAAAUCCCUACAAGGACACACAAAUCCCAAUUCACACAAUUUUGUGAGAUUUAGCAAAGUAAAGGAAAAUAUAAAAGUGAAAAAUACGUUCAGUGCGUACGCUCGUUCCCAACCACAGUCGUUCGUUCGUUCAUUCAUUCAUUCAUUCAUUCACUUGUGCUAAGUGUGUCACUGUGAUAUCAAAUCAAAUCAUUCAAAAUACCGUCCUGGAGCAUCAGCCAACCACCUUGCUUGCCAAGCUUAAAUCUUCCCUAAAUGACAACGCCAACAGCAACAUCAUUUAUAAACAUCUUCAACGAAAUUUGAAAGUGUUUCGUUUUUAAUGGUUGUAAUGUGAUGAUGCUACCGUGCCAUUGGAGCAACGCUAUCAAAGACAACCACAACAAAUAUUGACAAAUACAGGAUAUACUCCAUUGAAUUGUUUUACUAAAUUGAAUGAUCAUUGUGGCUGCACUACAAUACAACGACGAGUCCGGAGCCAACAGACAAAAACACUCAUCCAUACAAAAGGAGCGGGUGGAAAAAAACAAGCCAUGGAAUAAUAUCAACAAACAGGACAAACGGAAAUCUAAACAUAAAUUAUACACAAAAGGCAGCAUACAACAUACUCAUAGUUGAAUGUGUUAUAGUGUGGUUAUGUGUG